GUGAGGGAAUGGGAGACUAGUGGCAGAGUGAGGGAGGGAAGGGGUGACUAGUGACAGAGUGAGGGGAUGACUGGUGACAGAGUGAGGGGGGGGGUGACUGUCACCAGUCACCCCAUCCCUCUCUCUGUCACUAGUUACUCCCUCCCUAACUCUGUCACUGUGUCACCCGCUCCCUCACUCUGUCACUAGUCACCCCCUUACUCUGUCACUGUGUUACCCCUCCCUCUGUCACUAGUCACCCCCUCCCUCAC